UCUUGCCCAGGCUGAAGUGCAACUCUGUCUCAAAAAAAUAAAAAUAAAUAAAUAAGUAAAUAAAGCAGGGUCGGGUGCGAUGGCUCACGCCUGUAAUCCCAGCACUUCGGGAGGCCGAGGCGGGCGGAUCACCUGAGGUCGGGAGUUUGAGACCAGCCUGGCCAACAUGAUGAAACUCCAUUUCUACUAAAAAUACAAAAAUUAGACGGGCUUGGUGGUGCACGUCUGUAAUCCCAGCUACUUAGGAGGCUGAGGCAGGAGAAUCACUUGAAUCCGGGAGGCAGAGGUUGCAGUGAGCUGAGAUCAUGCCACUGCACUCCAGCCUGGGUGACAGAGUGAGGUUCUGUCUCAAAAAUAAAUAAAUAAAUAAAUAAAUAAAUAAAUAAAUAAAUAGGCUGGAUACAGUGGCUCACGCCUGUAAUCCCAGCACUUUGGGAGAUCAAGGCAGGCAGAUCACCUGAGGUUAGGAGUUUGAGACCAGCCUGGCCAACAUGGUGAAACCCCAUCUCUACUAAAAAUACAAAAAUUAGCCAGGUGUGGUGGCGGGCGCCUGUAAUCCCAGCUACUAGGGAGGGUGAGGCAGGAGAAUUGCUUGAACCUGGGAGGGGGAGGUUGCAGUGAGCCAAGAUUGCACCACUGCACUCCAGCCUGGGUGAUAGAGCAAGACUCCAUCUUGAAAAAAUAAAAUAGGCCGGGCGCGGUGGCUCACACCUGUAAUCCCA
rnacentral:lncRNA from 1 species